UACGUAGGGGGCAAGCGUUGUUCGGAUUUACUGGGCGUAAAGGGCGCGUGGGCGGCGCGUAAAGUCGGAAAUGAAAUCAUUGGGCUUAACCCGUUGGCUGUGCCCGAUACUUUCGUGCUUAGAGUGCGGGAGAGGCAAUCGGAAUUCUCGGUGUAGCGGUGAAAUGCGUAGAUAUCGAGAGGAACUCCGGUGACGAAGGUGGGUUGCUGGACCGACACUGACGCUGAGGCGCGAAAGCUAGGGGAGCAAACGGG
rnacentral:rRNA from 1 species